GAUGAACGCUGGCGGCGUGCUUAACACAUGCAAGUCGAACGGGAUCGGCUGGAGCUUGCUCCGGCCGUGAGAGUGGCGAACGGGUGAGUAAUGCGUGACCGACCUGCCCCAUACACCGGAAUAGCUCCUGGAAACGGGUGGUAAUGCCGGAUGCUCCAGUUGACCGCAUGGUCCUCUGGGAAAGCUUUUGCGGUAUGGGAUGGGGUCGCGUCCUAUCAGCUUGAUGGCGGGGUAACGGCCCACCAUGGCUUCGACGGGUAGCCGGCCUGAGAGGGCGACCGGCCACAUUGGGACUGAGAUACGGCCCAGACUCCUACGGGAGGCAGCAGUGGGGAAUAUUGCACAAUGGGCGCAAGCCUGAUGCAGCGACGCCGCGUGCGGGAUGACGGCCUUCGGGUUGUAAACCGCUUUUGACUGGGAGCAAGCCCUUCGGGGUGA
rnacentral:rRNA from 1 species